GUCGAACGAGUUCUCGUUGAUGAUCGGUGCUUGCACCGAGAUUCAACAUAGAACGAGUGGCGGACGGGUGAGUAACACGUGGGUAACCUGCCCUUAAGUGGGGGAUAACAUUUGGAAACAGAUGCUAAUACCGCAUAGAUCCAAGAACCGCAUGGUUCUUGGCUGAAAGAUGGCGUAAGCUAUCGCUUUUGGAUGGACCCGCGGCGUAUUAGCUAGUUGGUGAGGUAAUGGCUCACCAAGGCGAUGAUACGUAGCCGAACUGAGAGGUUGAUCGGCCACAUUGGGACUGAGACACGGCCCAAACUCCUACGGGAGGCAGCAGUAGGGAAUCUUCCACAAUGGACGCAAGUCUGAUGGAGCAACGCCGCGUGAGUGAAGAAGGCUUUCGGGUCGUAAAACUCUGUUGUUGGAGAAGAAUGGUCGGCAGAGUAACUGUUGUCGGCGUGACGGUAUCCAACCAGAAAGCCACGGCUAACUACGUGCCAGCAGCCGCGGUAAUACGUAGGUGGCAAGCGUUAUCCGGAUUUAUUGGGCGUAAAGCGAGCGCAGGCGGUUUUUUAAGUCUGAUGUGAAAGCCCUCGGCUUAACCGAGGAAGCGCAUCGGAAACUGGGAAACUUGAGUGCAGAAGAGGACAGUGGAACUCCAUGUGUAGCGGUGAAAUGCGUAGAUAUAUGGAAGAACACCAGUGGCGAAGGCGGCUGUCUGGUCUGUAACUGACGCUGAGGCUCGAAAGCAUGGGUAGCGAACAGGAUUAGAUACCCUGGUAGUCCA
rnacentral:rRNA from 1 species